rnacentral:rRNA from 1 species
GACGAACGCUGGCGGCGUGCUUAACACAUGCAAGUCGAACGGUGAAGCUCCAGCUUGCUGGAGUGGAUCAGUGGCGAACGGGUGAGUAACACGUGAGCAACCUGCCCCAGACUCUGGAAUAAGCGCUGGAAACGGCGUCUAAUACUGGAUACGAGAUCAAGCCGCAUGGUUAUGGUCUGGAAAGUUCUUCGGUUUGGGAUGGGCUCGCGGCCUAUCAGCUUGUUGGUGAGGUAAUGGCUCACCAAGGCGACGACGGGUAGCCGGCCUGAGAGGGCGACCGGCCACACUGGGACUGAGACACGGCCCAGACUCCUACGGGAGGCAGCAGUGGGGAAUAUUGCACAAUGGGCGAAAGCCUGAUGCAGCGACGCCGCGUGAGGGAUGACGGCCUUCGGGUUGUAAACCUCUUUCAGCAGGGAAGAAGCGAAAGUGACGGUACCUGCAGAAGAAGCACCGGCUAACUACGUG